rnacentral:ncRNA from 1 species
CGGAGCGCCAGAACUAUUACACGGACGGAAUAAGUAAUAGUGGACGAGGAGAAGGUUUAUCGAACAUUCGGCGGGUGCCUUCUAGUUGAUUAUCACAACUAUGAGCGACGUUAAAAACAAAAAGGUGACUUUUUGGACAAACAACGAAGCA